ensembl:lncRNA
GUCUCGUUAUUUAUCCUCAUUUGAGCUGUUUAUUUUAGUUCCUAUCUGUCAAGUUUUAGUUUGUCAGGUAUCGUCGAUGUAUGCAUCUGUCACCAUCCUAUCUUGUGUGAAUAUACCUUUUGUGGAUAAAAUUAAAGACUGUUAAAUAGUGUGAACGAGGGACAGCUAAGACAGCCCUGACAGAAGAUCUCAGAGAUCUGGAGGAUGUAAAAGGAGUAAUAUGAUCUGUGAGAUAAGAUGAUCUGUGAGAUAAGUGAGAUAAAUCAUAAUCUUGUUCAUCUACACACUGCCCCGUGACAGAAGACCUGACCAUAGAGGGGCAAAACCCUGCUAAAUGGAGGAACUGUAUUUAUUUUUCAAAUGGCUGUAAUCUGGAGGACUAUGUUAAAGAAUGCCUCAACACUUGCCAUCAUGCGAGCUGCGAUGAUGUCUACUUCAUGGAGGGAUUUUGGUGUGGUCUGGAUGAAAUCCAUGCUGGAUCCUGAAAGAUUACAUCAGAUUUGCACUGUGGGUGAAGGGAUCCACACUCACAGUGAAUGAAGCAGAUGUCGACUGUAACAUCAACAUCCACCCACACCUCACAGACAACUCUCAGCUAGACCCAGAGCCCAGCCAGACCGCAGAGAUCCUCCCGCCAGAACCGCCUGUCUGCCCAAACUGUCUGUCUAUCCUGAACUGUCAGCCUGUUUUGGAAUGUUUGUCUGUCCGUCCUGUUACGACCAUGGAGGUCGUUCCCUUGUCUGCUGCACUCCCUGUUCUGGGAGUCACGAUUUGGUGUGUGUGGGCAGCAUACACCAUCCCUGAAACCUCCAACUGUCGUGAACAAACACCCACCCUCCCUCUCCCACCUCCUCUCAUGAGCCGUCUACCAUCUUCUGCCCUGCUGCCGCUGCAUCUUGCCAGUCCCUAAGCACAUCCUCAGCUUUCCAUCUGUGGAACGGAUUCGCUUCGGAUCUGUCAGUCUCCUGCUCUUCCAUGAUCGGAGGAUCCCUGGUCUCUGCCUCCAACCUCCGAAAAACCCGGACUCCGCCUAGGGUGGAUAUACCAUGUGUGGAUUAAAUUAAAAACCUGUUAAUCUUUAUUUUAAUCUCCGUUGUGUUUAUCUGCACACCGCCCC